CCGCCGGCGACCGGCGCACGGGUGGAGUAACACGUAUGCAACCUGGCCGUGACAGAUGGAUAACCGGGAGAAAUCCCGCCUAAUACAACAUAAUGCCGGGAGGGGACAUCCCCUGCCGGCCAAAGGGGGCGACCCCGGUCACGGAUGGGCAUGCGGCGCAUUAGGUAGUUGGUGGGGCAACGGCCCACCAAGCCGACGAUGCGUAGGGGUUCUGAGAGGAAGGUCCCCCACAUUGGAACUGAGACACGGUCCAAACUCCUACGGGAGGCAGCAG
rnacentral:rRNA from 1 species